rnacentral:rRNA from 1 species
AUUGAACGCUGGCGGCAUGCCUUACACAUGCAAGUCGAACGGCAGCACGGGUGCUUGCACCUGGUGGCGAGUGGCGAACGGGUGAGUAAUACAUCGGAACAUGUCCUGUAGUGGGGGAUAGCCCGGCGAAAGCCGGAUUAAUACCGCAUACGAUCUACGGAUGAAAGCGGGGGACCUUCGGGCCUCGCGCUAUAGGGUUGGCCGAUGGCUGAUUAGCUAGUUGGUGGGGUAAAGGCCUACCAAGGCGACGAUCAGUAGCUGGUCUGAGAGGACGACCAGCCACACUGGGACUGAGACACGGCCCAGACUCCUACGGGAGGCAGCAGUGGGGAAUUUUGGACAAUGGGCGAAAGCCUGAUCCAGCAAUGCCGCGUGUGUGAAGAAGGCCUUCGGGCUGUAAAGCACUUUUGUCCGGAAAGAAAUCCUUGGCCCUAAUACGGUCGGGGGAUGACGGUACCGGAAGAAUAAGCACCGGCUAACUACGUG